rnacentral:lncRNA from 1 species
UAUAAAAUUUUAGGUUUCUUUUACAAUGAGAAAUGCUAAAGAUAAGUAAUAAUAGUAAAGUGGAUAGGAAAAACAGAAGCUGAAAAUAUGGGAAAGCAUCUUGAAUGUGACCUGGCCAGGACUGACCCUUGACUGAAUCGGUUUGGGGGUGGGAAAUGUGAGUGAAAAGGGGACAUUAAAUCUGUUAGACCACAGAACAGUCACUAAGUAUUGCAUUAUGGAGGAAGUUUUGCCAAGUGGUAACUGGACAGUUCACCAGUUGAGCUGAGAAAGGACAGCAUUAAUUCACUUAUUCAUUGUAGCAGCUGUUGUGGGGAUUAGAAAAGAUAUUAGAAAGAAGAUACAAAAUGAAUAAAUGAAUGGAGUUUUUAGAAAUCCAACCCAAAGUAUUGCAUUUGAGGGGAUAAGCUGCAAUAUACAAAUGUAAAAGCUGCAAAGGAGAAUGAGAAUCUGAUCUGGUCAGCACUUUUAGACUUAAUGAUCUGUGACAACAGAUCUUACUCUAAGAUACUAUAAACCUUGACAGAAAACAAAAGCUAACCAGUGACCUAAGUCUUUCUCUGUGUAUU